rfam:Theileria orientalis strain Shintoku DNA, chromosome 3, complete genome.
AGAUAGGUUUUAUUCAAAACCAUCAAAUUCCGGUUUAAAUCAUUAU